rnacentral:rRNA from 1 species
UCCUACGGGAGGCAGCAGUGGGGAAUAUUGCACAAUGGGCGCAAGCCUGAUGCAGCGACGCCGCGUGAGCGAAGAAGUAUUUCGGUAUGUAAAGCUCUAUCAGCAGGGAAGAUAAUGACGGUACCUGACUAAUAAGCACCGGCUAAAUACGUGCCAGCAGCCGCGGUAAUACGUAUGGUGCAAGCGUUAUCCGGAUUUACUGGGUGUAAAGGGAGCGUAGGCGGUUUUACAAGUCUGAUGUGAAAGCCCGCAGCUCAACUGCGGUAUUGCAUUGGAAACUGUAGAACUAGAGUGUCGGAGGGGUAAGUGGAAUUCCUAGUGUAGCGGUGAAAUGCGUAGAUAUUAGGAGGAACACCAGUGGCGAAGGCGGCUUACUGGACGAUUACUGACGCUGAGGCUCGAAAGCGUGGGGAGCAAACAGGAUUAGAUACCCUGGUAGUCC